AAGGUGACACGCGCAAUUAAACAAGGUGACACGCACACUUAAGGUGACGCACACACUCAAAAGGGGUGACGCGCAGAAUUAAAUGUGGUGCCACACAAUUAAAAAAGGUGACACGCACAAUUAAAUGACGCACACAAUUAAACAAAGUGACGCACACACUUAAGG